GCGACGCCGCGUGUGGGAUGACGGCCUUCGGGUUGUAAACCACUGUCGGGAGGGACGAAUGCGCCGCAAGGCGAGUGACGGUACCUCCAAAGGAAGCACCGGCUAACUCCGUGCCAGCAGCCGCGGUAAUACGGAGGGUGCGAGCGUUGUCCGGAAUCACUGGGCGUAAAGGGCGCGUAGGCGGCCUGAUAAGUAGGGGGUGAAAUCCUGCGGCUUAACCGCAGGGCUGCCUUCUAAACUGUCAGGCUCGAGCACAGUAGAGGCAGGUGGAAUUCUCGGUGUAGCGGUGGAAUGCGUAGAGAUCGGGAAGAACAUCAGUGGCGAAGGCGGCCUGCUGGGCUGUUGCUGACGCUGAGGCGCGACAGCGUGGGGAGCAAACAGGAUUAGAUACCCUGGUAGUCCACGCCGUAAACGAUGGACACUAGGCGUCGGGGGGAGCGACCCUCCCGGUGCCGUCGCUAACGCAGUAAGUGUCCCGCCUGGGGAGUACGGCCGCAAGGCUG
rnacentral:rRNA from 1 species